GAAAGACCAUGUUACGACACAGGGAGAAGGGGACCACAUGAAAGCCAAGGAGAGAGGUCUCCGGAGAAAUCAACUCUGUAACAUUUUGAUGAUCUUGGACUUCCAGCCUCCAGAACUACUCAUGAUCAGCAUCAAUGAGUUGCUUAUCAUAUAUCCCAGUACUAAAAAAAUGAAGAUGCCAUUUCUCUAGAAGGUAUACACAGUCAUGUAAUAGGAUAUUACUAGAAGGAGCUUUCCUGGUGGUGCAGUCGUUAAGAAUCUGCCUGCCAAUGCAGGGGACACGAGUUGGAGCCCUGGUCCGGGAAGAUCUCACAUGCCGCGGAGCAACUAAGCCCGUGCACCACACUGAGCCUGCGCUCUAGAGCCCACAAGCCACAACUACUGAGCCUGCAUGCCACAACUACUGAAGCCCGUGCGCCUAGAGCCCGUGCUCCGCAACAAGAGAAGCCACCGCAAUAAGAAGCCUGCACACCACAACGAAGAGUAGCCCCCACUCACCGUAACUAGAUAAAGCCCGCGUGCAGUAACACAGACAAAAAUUAAUAAAUAAAAAUAAAUUUAUUUUUUAAAAAAAUUUUAAAUUAAGAAAAAAUAAAUGUACCUGUCAGAUCUUCCUCAUUAAUUAUGCUUCUUAGAAUUAAUUGCUAUAUUGUUUUAUAUUUUAUAUAUUCUGUUUUAUAUUUUGACCUGUCAUG